AUGGCUCAGGACGAACGCUGGCGGCGUGCUUAACACAUGCAAGUCGAGCGAUGAAACUCCUCGGGAGUGGAUUAGCGGCGGACGGGUGAGUAACACGUGGGCAACCUGCCUUAUAGAGAGGAAUAGCCAUCCGAAAGGAUGAUUAAUACCUCAUAAUAUUGUAGCUUCGCAUGGAGCAACAAUCAAAGGAGCAAUCCACUAUAAGAUGGGCCCGCGGCGCAUUAGCUAGUUGGUGAGGUAACGGCUCACCAAGGCGACGAUGCGUAGCCGACCUGAGAGGGUGAUCGGCCACAUUGGGACUGAGACACGGCCCAGACUCCUACGGGAGGCAGCAGUGGGGAAUAUUGCACAAUGGGGGAAACCCUGAUGCAGCCAACGCCGCGUGAGUGAUGACGGCCUUCGGGUUGUAAAGCUCUGUCUUCAGGGACGAUAACUGACCGGUACCUGAGGACGGUAAGCCACGGCUAACUACGUGCCAGCAGCCGC
rnacentral:rRNA from 1 species